UCCAGCAAAACUCUAGUUCUUAUAUCCAAACCCUUAGGAAACUUAUCUUAAGAAAAUAUUAUACAUAUUUGGUUCUCGUAGUAGUUGGUCCUAAAGUGCUCAUGACACGAAAUUUUCUCCCCAAUUUUUAUGCAUCUGUUGAUACUUGGAAGUACGUUGAAAAUAAUGAAGAAUCAUCUCGUUCCCAAGUUUGUAUUUUUGUGUUACGACUGUUUGUGCUUAGGAGAAAGUCCAAUAUCUCAGAAGUGAUUCAGUUUGGUUCAUGCAUGCAGUUAACAAGUGCGCCCAAGCAAACAUUUUGAAACGUUUAUGUGGUUUUAAAACUUUCAAAAUAAAACUUUCGUUCCAAAUGGGUCUAUACACGGCAGACAUUACCAAAAUAAGAAGAGCGAGCCCUGGUAACUAGUGUGUUGCUAUACAACCAUACAAACGUUCCAAAAUGUUUGCUUAGGUGCUCUCACUAACUUACCAAAUUUCAUUUCAUUUCGUUAAAUCACUUUUGAGAUAUUAGACUUUCUUCCUUUUGCCAUCUUCAGCACAACCAGCACGUCAUAACACAAAAAUACAAUUCGUGUCAUGAGCACUCUAAGUUUGCAUCCAUGUCUUUCCUAUCUAUCUAUCAGACAAUAUAGUUUAUACAUAAGAAAUAAGUACUGAAUCUGACUCGUAUUUUAUGAGUACACAUAUCAAAGUAAAUGAUUUAGCCAUGUAGUGUACAUUAUUAAUUUUGCGUUACAUCUUGGUCCAUUUCAUCUCGCCGGAAAAAGCACAGUAAAGCCAUCAAAGAUCUUCGAUAGUUUGGCAACCUUAUUGCAUAAAUUAUUGGAUUAACAGCAAAGUUAACAAUUUCCACUGGGAAAUAAUAUUUUAUAAAUGUUCCUAACAUAUUCUUAUCAAG